rnacentral:rRNA from 1 species
UAGUAACGGCGAGUGAAGCGGCAACAGCUCAAAUUUGAAAUCUGGCUCUCUUGUGGGGUCCGAGUUGUAAUUUGUAGAGGGCGCUUUGGCACUGAUGGCGGUCUAAGUUCCUUGGAACAGGACAUCACAGAGGGUGAGAAUCCCGUACGUGGUCGCUAAUCUUUUGCUGUGUAAAGCCCCUUCAACGAGUCGAGUUGUUUGGGAAUGCAGCUCUAAAUGGGAGGUAAAUUUCUUCUAAAGCUAAAUAUUGGCCAGAGACCGAUAGCGCACAAGUAGAGUGAUCGAAAGAUGAAAAGCACUUUGGAAAGAGAGUCAAAAAGCACGUGAAAUUGUUGAAAGGGAAGCGCUUGCCGCCAGACUUGCCUGUAGUUGCUCACCUAGGCGUUAAGCCUGGGGCACUCUUCUGCAGGCAGGCCAGCAUCAGUUUGGGCAGCCGGAUAAAGGUCUCUGACACGUUCCAUCCUUCGUAGAUGGCCAUAUAGGGGAGACGUCAUGCGGUUAGCCUGGACUGAGGUCCGCGCAUUGCUAGGAUGCUGGCGUAAUGGCUGCAAGCGGCCCGUCUUGAAACACGGACCAAGGAGUCUAACAUCUGUGCGAGUGUUUGGGUGUCAAGCCCGAGCGCGCAAUAAACGUGAACGGAGGUGGGAACCCUCUUUGCGGGGGGUGCACUAUCGACCGAUCCUGAUGUCUUCGGAUGGAUUUGAGUAAGAGCAUAGCUGUUGGGACCCGAAAGAUGGUGAACUAUGCUUGAAUAGGGUGAAGCCAGAGGAAACUCUGGUGGAGGCUCGCAGCGGUUCUGACGUGCAAAUCGAUCGUCAAAUUUGGGCAUAGGGGCGAAAGACUAAUCGAACUAUCUAGUAGCUGGGUUCCUGCCG